UACGGAGGGUGCAAGCGUUAUCCGGAUUCACUGGGUUUAAAGGGUGCGUAGGUUGAUUGAUAAGUCAGUGGUGAAAUACUCUCGCUUAACGAGGGAACUGCCGUUGAUACUAUCAAUCUUGAAUGCGGUGGAGGCAAGCGGAAUGUGUCAUGUAGCGGUGAAAUGCUUAGAUAUGACACAGAACACCCAUUGCGAAGGCAGCUUGCUACGCCGUGAUUGACACUGAGGCACGAAAGCGUGGGGAUCAAACAGG
rnacentral:rRNA from 1 species